GCGACUUAUAUUCUGUAGCAAGGUUAACCGAAUAGGGGAGCCGGAGGGAAACCGAGUCUUAAUUGGGCGUUAAGUUGCAGGGUAUAGACCCGAAACCCGGUGAUCUAGCCAUGGGCAGGUUGAAGGUUGGGUAACACUAACUGGAGGACCGAACCGACUAAUGUUGAAAAAUUAGCGGAUGACCUGUGGCUGGGGGUGAAAGGCCAAUCAAACCGGGAGAUAGCUGGUUCUCCCCGAAAGCUAUUUAGGUAGCGCCUCGUGAAUUCAUCUCCGGGGGUAGAGCACUGUUUCGGCUAGGGGGCCAUCCCGGCUUACCAACCCGAUGCAAACUGCGAAUACCGGAGAAUGUUAUCACGGGAGACACACGGCGGGUGCUAACGUCCGUCGUGAAGAGGGAAACAACCCAGACCGCCAGCUAAGGUCCCAAAGUCAUGGUUAAGUGGGAAACGAUGUGGGAAGGCCCAGACAGCCAGGAUGUUGGCUUAGAAGCAGCCAUCAUUUAAAGAAAGCGUAAUAGCUCACUGGUCGAGUCGGCCUGCGCGGAAGAUGUAACGGGGCUAAACCAUGCACCGAAGCUGCGGCAGCGACGCUGAUGCGUUGUUGGGUAGGGGAGCGUUCUGUAAGCCUGCGAAGGUGGCCUGUGAGGGUUGCUGGAGGUAUCAGAAGUGCGAAUGCUGACAUAAGUAACGAUAAAGCGGGUGAAAAGCCCGCUCGCCGGAAGACCAAGGGUUCCUGUCCAACGUUAAUCGGGGCAGGGUGAGUCGACCCCUAAGGCGAGGCCGAAAGGCGUAGUCGAUGGGAAACGGGUUAAUAUUCCCGUACUUGGUGUUACUGCGAAGGGGGGACGGAGAAGGCUAUGUUGGCCGGGCGACGGUUGUCCCGGUUUAAGCGUGUAGGUGUGUGUUCCAGGUAAAUCCGGUUCACUUUAACACUGAGGCGUGAUGACGAGGCACUACGGUGCUGAAGCAACAAAUGCCCUGCUUCCAGGAAAAGCCUCUAAGCAUCAGGUAACAUCAAAUCG
rnacentral:rRNA from 1 species